GAUGAACGCUGGCGGCGUGCCUAAUACAUGCAAGUCGAGCGAACAGAUGAGGAGCUUGCUCCUCUGACGUUAGCGGCGGACGGGUGAGUAACACGUGGAUAACCUACCUAUAAGACUGGGAUAACUUCGGGAAACCGGAGCUAAUACCGGAUAAUAUAUUGAACCGCAUGGUUCAAUAGUGAAAGACGGUUUUGCUGUCACUUAUAGAUGGAUCCGCGCCGCAUUAGCUAGUUGGUAAGGUAACGGCUUACCAAGGCAACGAUGCGUAGCCGACCUGAGAGGGUGAUCGGCCACACUGGAACUGAGACACGGUCCAGACUCCUACGGGAGGCAGCAGUAGGGAAUCUUCCGCAAUGGGCGAAAGCUUGACGGAGCAACGCCGCGUGAGUGAUGAAGGUCUUCGGAUCGUAAAACUCUGUUAUUAGGGAAGAACAAAUGUGUAAGUAACUAUGCACGUCGUGACGGUACCUAAUCAGAAAGCCACGGCUAACUACGUG
rnacentral:rRNA from 1 species